UUUUUUAAAUUUUUAAAAUUGUUAUUGGAGUAUAGUUGAUUUACAGUAUUGUGUCAAUUUCUGCUAUACCGUAAAGUGACCCAGUCACACACAUAUUACAUUCUUUUUCUCCUCUUAUCGUCCGUCAUGGUCUAACCCAGGAGACAGGAGACUGAAUAUAGUUUCCGGUGCUACACAAUAGGACUUCGCUGCUUAUCCAUUCUAAAUGUAACAGUUUGCACCUACCAGUAAUUUUUACAUGCUCCGUCUUCUAGUUGAGUGUUGAUCCUUAUGUACUAGAGGCCAGUCAUCUUAUGCCUCUCAGUUGUCUUUGCACUGAGUUCUUCCUCUUUGUAGAAGGAAUCGCUGUGUUGAACAAGCUUCAGCCAAGUUUCUCUUCGAUGGGCAGGCACUAGCGCUUGGCAUUCCCUAGCAACUACAUGGAUCUCAGGUACCAUGUCUACCUGGUAAGUUUACUCCUGUCUUUAUUAUUUUCAUAUCCAUAUUUCUCUUUGUCCUGGCUCAUUUACUUCAUCAUUUUGAAUUGCAGCUAUUGUUGUAAAUCACCUCAGAUCUUUUAUUGGAUGGGGCAUCAUAUGAAGAGUUUUUUUUUUCCUGGCACAUCUUCAACUGCAUGCAAAGUACCCCGUCUGAUCUUUGUGUUGACCUCUAGCAAACUGCAUCUUGUACAUUUGUUUGUCCUUGUAUGUGAGUCUACUGGUUAUUUAAAGAUAUAUAGAUCUAUGCAUACACACACACAAAAAACUCCUGGCAGAGUUUGAGCUUCUAGUCAUUGUAGCCCCAACAUGGCUGCCUAGCAUAGAACCUGGUAUUUAGUUGGUACUCAAUAUUUGUUGAGUGAGUGAUCAAAUUAUUAAGAUCCGUGUGGUUGUUAGGAGUAUCUGUUAUAAAUGGUGAUUUUUAACAAGCAGUGGGAGUUGGAUCUAGAGAAGAAAUGAUUGCUACCAAAACAUUGCCAGUGUAAACGGGAACAGGCAGAAAUAAAUGUCUAUCGUAAAUUAUAAGCUUAAAAUUUAAAAGGCAUCCUUAAUCAGCUUUCACUCCUUUAUUUUAGCAAGGGCUUGUCAUACACAACUCUGUUUAUUUGUUUAAAUUUGUCGGCACUCGCUGCCCAUCUGUAUGCAUGCCGGACAGAACCAGAUAGCUGCACACCUUUGCUGCCCUCCCACUUACAGGUCACAUAGCCCAUUUCUGGUCCUCAGUAAAUGCGUGGUAGAGAAGAGAAGGGAGGCAGUUUAGAGGCUGGUUCUUUGAAAUAUGGUGUAAAAAGUUUUUUCCUUUUUUGUCGCAUGUGAUUUGGAUGGCAGCAUGCUGAGAUUUUAAUUAUCCCCACUUUAAAAUAUUGCAACGUGGCUAUUGUAAAAACACUUUCCAUUGUCCUUGAUGAAGGGAGGAGCUCCUGUUCUAAUUUGGCUUAUAUUUGUAAUUAAUGAGAAAGAAAGAACCCUUGAGUGGUCCCUAAUUGAAACAGGGACUACAUCGAUCCACUCUUGUUUAGGAGUCUUAUCGAAAGUCUAGAUAGAAAAAUGGUAUUCUUAACUGUAUCAUGAUGCAAAAAUAAAUCAUUAGUGAGGACACGAAGCAAGAUAGGUUUUUCUGAUUGCAGUACUUUAUUUAAUAUACAUGUCUUUCAUUGAAUAGUCAGGAAAAAUGAGUCCAAAAUAAAACCUCAGGGCAGUAAAUAGAUUUCAGUGUGAGUGUUAAUUGCUCCAUCAACAGUUGCUGCUGCGUCAAGGUAGUUGGUGAAGCCUCAUCUGGAUUCUCCCAUCCACCCAUUGAUCCAAACCAGUAUCCAUUCUCCCUCCCUUCCUUCCUUCCCUCUUCUCAACAAACUGAAUACCCGCCAUGUGCAAAGCACUGUUCUCAAUGCUAGCGAUAGAGUUGAGCAGGCUGAACAAAGGGAAAUCGGACCCUGAUCCGUCAGUGACGUCUGCCAAGGGCCCAUGAAAUCUGUGGCCCCCCCCAUUUUUAAGGCGCAUUUUUGAAUCUUUUAAGGCCUAUUCGAGUUGAAGUAACCAGUUAAUAAGUACUCUGGAAUUAAUCACAGCACCACCAGCUGGUUGCCCUUGAGUAUUAUCUUCUUGUGAGUGUAGAACUUCACGUCAUCUGACAAAUACUGAUCUUAGACUUUGAGUUAAUGGUAGAUAUAUCUAGGAGUUCCCGCUGUGGCGCAGUGGUUAACGGAUCCGAUUAGGAACCAUGAGGUUUUGGGUUCAAUCCCUGGCCUUGCUCAGUGGGUUAAGGAUCCAGCACUGCCGUGAGCUAUGGUGUAGGUUGCAGACACGGCUUGGAUCCCGCGUUGCUGUGGCUCAGGCGUAGGCCGGUGGCUACAGCUCCAAUUCGACCCCUAGCCUGGGAACCUCCAUAUGCAAUGGGAACAGCCCAAGAAAUGGCAAAAAGGCCAAAAAAAAAAAAAAAAAAAAAAGUAGAUAUAUCUAGGAUCAUAAAGAAAUAAUGAUGAGCUCUUAUGCAAUUUUUCUAAACUCUCUUAGUUAACCCAUGAGUUUAAUUUUGAAAGAAAAAAAAAAAGUUGUUGAAACCUGAGGUUGUUUCCAAGCAAGAUGGGAACAAACAAAAAACCACAGAGAAUUAUCUCCAGUAUAGGGACAUUUCUUGGGUAAUUUAAGGUUAUGAUGCAAAUGGUCUAUGUUUUCCUUUUCUGCAUUAAAAAACUCAUGUUCAUUCUCCUCUUGGAUUGCAACCAUAUCUUUGAGAAAUGAAAGGCGAAUGAAAAUAAAUUUUAUUUAACAAGUCUGCAUCAACAUUUAUGACAUGUGAGUUUUUGGUUUGGAGAAGAGUACCAAACUGCCAAAAGGAUUAAAAAUUGUAUAUAAAAGGAAUUUUUUUUUUGCCAGUAGCUUCUAAAUUGAAUAAACUGAAAAAUUUUCAUACCCAGGAUCUAAGGAAUCUGAUUUAGUUUUUUAAUUGAGAAUAUUUACCUUCAAAAGUUGAAAAACAAACAUCAAAGCAAUGGGAAAGAGGUGGGUCAGUCAAUAAAUAGACUUAAGGCAACUGAAUUCCAUUUGGAAAAAAUACAAAUUUAAAUCCAUACUUCACAAUUUAUACCAAAAUUAAUUCUAUGUGGAUUAAACCUUUAAACAUAAUAUAUGAGAUUACCAAAACAAUGUGGGAGUUUUUGGUUCUGUUUGGUUUGCUUUCUUCAUAAUCUCAGAGCAGAAAAGGCCUCUCAAAGCAGAAGGGUUUUGGAUUCAAGCUACAAAAUCUAAAUGCUAUAAUUGAAAAGAGAUUUGACUAUAGAUAACUUUUAAAACAUCUGAACAACAAAAAAUCCAAUAAAGGCAAAUGGCAAAAGCAAUUGAUUACAGCACAAAUGACAGACAAGUUCUGAUUUUUCUAUUAUGUAAAGAGCCCUCCUAUACUCAAAAGAAAAAGACCAUUAGGAAAAUACUCAGAAGGCAGGCAGAGGAGAAACCCAGGUAGCCUUAGAAAUACCUGCAAUUAGAAAAGGCAAAGAAGAUUCCAUAUUUCACCUGUCAGUUUUCUCAGCUGUGUUGAAGAACAGGUCUGCCAGGAGAAAAGGACAUGGGUACUAGGUCAUUUAGGGUGUUACUUGAAACAAGCUCCUUAGAAGGCAAUUUUACAAUGUCUGAAUAUCUUAGGUGCACAUCUCUUUUGAUCUAGCUAUUGUAUUCCAGGAAUUUAUCUUACAAAUACUCUGUAGAGCAUAUACAAACAUGUAUUUGCCAGGAUAUUGACUGCAGCAUUGUUGAUUAUAACAAAAAACUGGAAAUUGGCCACUAGUCAACUUUAUGGUCUCUGAUGGAAUACUACGCAGCAAGUAAAAAGCAUGGGAUCCAUGUAUAAGCUGGUGCACUGAAAUAUCCAAUUACUUAAGGAGGAAGAAAAAGGCAACAGAAAAGGAUAAAGUGCUCUACAAAUUUGCAUUUUAAAAUAUGUAUGAAUAUGUAUGCAUUUGUAGGAAGAUUUCUGGAAGAAUAUUGAGAUGGUAGUUAUGUCUGAAAAAUAGAACAGGGAUUGCAUAGGAGACAGAUUCAUUUUCAGAAAUCCCUUUUUGUCAGAUGCAGGUGCCAUUUUCAGAAUUAAAUAAGCAACAUCUUUUGAUCCAUUUCAGGAAUAUUGGACCAUUCCCUCAUUUUAGACUUCAGCCACCCUUAUGUAAUUUGGGGGUUUGUCUUUGGAAAAUCUAUACAGAGGCUCAAGUAAACCGCUGCUCUGCUGAGGGGAGGACCGGCUCUAGGCAACAUCUUUGUCCUUGCUGGUUCAUUUGACCUCAUUGACUGACAGCAGGCCGCGUAAUGGGCAGCACCCGCCCCUCUGUGGCCUCCAUUUCUGCUCCAGCCUCCUCGACCUGCCUCCUUGACACCUUAUCCUGGUGGAGAGUAUGUCCAUCAGAGUCCCAGGAUCCUCGAAACGACACCCAAAUAAAUCUUCGACAGUCACGGCUGAUUUAAUGACUUAACGUUUUGGACCCAUUCAAGCAAGGAAGCAACUCAUGGCUCAAUUCCUGCCUGGCUUUCCCGGAUGUGAGCUGUGGUCUGGCCACUAGGGUCGAACUCAGUGACUCUAGUAGAAAAUGUAUUGUGAAGAGAGAUGAAAGCUGGACAGUCAUGCUUUGGGCCAGAACUUAUUGCUCAUCUUGGUGCAAUAUUUAGCAAAUGAGCACUAAACACAGGAUACAGGUAACGAGGUGGAAUUCACACUGCCGCCUUCUCUUGAUUCUUGUGUAUUCUUCCUUAAAGUUGCCAACUUCUGAGAGGCAGAGAGGAAUAAAGAUGGAUGAAGGAUCUGAAAAACUGAGUUCGGACCCCGACCUGGUCACAGAUGAGCUCUGUAAAUUUUUUCAGAUUCCCAAACUUGAU
rnacentral:lncRNA from 1 species